GGUGAUGGAGAAAGGAAAAGUGCACUAUGAAGCAGGGAAUGCCCUGCUGGCAGCACCUAUCACAUCCACUGCCACGUUCCCUCUGUCCUUGGUGGUUCGCCAUAUCUAAAGAGUAGCCUGCAGGUCUUCAGGGUGACCAGACAAGAAACAGUAACCACAGAACAGGGAGGCCGACCAACCAGAGAUCUUCCAAGAAUUUACUCAUCAGUGGCAAGCAAUCAUUUAUGCAGAUGUAGCUAUGGUAC